AGGUAUGAAGACCCAAUGGCAUUGGAAGCAGGUGCUGAAGGUAUGGAUGUCAUCAAGUCGAUCAUCAAACAUGCAAGGUUUCUUCUUAAACCUUUUGGGUUGAUUUGGCUAGAGACAGACACCAGGCACCAUCACAUGAUACAGGAAUGGCUUAGAGAUUACCCAGCUUUCUCUGUUCAGUUUAACAACAGUUUCUUGGACUUUACAGACAGAGCAAGAUUUUGUCAACUAGAGUAUUCUCCAUGACAAGCAUUACAUUACUCAACAUUUCAGAAGACAUGGUUCGGCAUUAAAAGUAUGGCUCCUUGAAACGUACAGAUGUCAUUGAGAGACCGAUGUCCUUUCAUAAGUCCUGGAGAUAAGGGAUUCUCACCUUGACCAAGUGAAAUCUGAAAGUCAAGCAUUGAUGAGAGACCCGUUCUUUGGACCAGACUGACAAAUAUUUGCUGAAUGGUCGGACUGAUCAGUGGACUUUGGAAGAUAUUUUCAACAGUCAAGCAAGGAAAAGUUCAGGAGAAUUUAAAGGCUGUUUAAAGUAAUUGAUUUUCAAUAGAUUUGUCAUCAAACAUAGUCUUUGUGUAUUUAGAGCGGCGAUGGAGGUGGCGUCAACAUCAAAUCUUAACUGAAGGUUAAGUUUUUGAAAUGGCAUUGACAGUAUAACUUAGAAAGUACAUGGACCUAGUUCAUGAAACUUGGCUAUAAGGUCAAUCAAGUAUUACUGAACAUCCUGCCUAAGUUUCAUGUCACAUGAUCAAGGUCAAAGGUCAUGUAGGGUCAAUGAACUUAGACCAUGUUGGGGGAAUCAACAUCAAAAUCUUAACCUAAGGUUAAGUUUUUGAAAUGACAGCAUAACUUAGAAAGUAUAUGGACUUAGUUCAUGAAACUUGGCCAUAAGGUCAAUCAAGUAUUACUGAACAUCCUGCCUAAGUUUCAUGUCACAUGACCAAGGUCAAGGUUCAUUAAGGGUCAAUGAACUUAGACCAUGUUGGGGGAAUCAACAUCAAAAUCUUAACCUAAGGUUAAGUUUUUGAAAUGUCAUCAUAACUUAGAAAAUAUAUUCAUGAAACUUUGACAUAAGGUUAAUCAAGUAUUACUGAACAUCCUGCAUGAGUUUCACGUCACCUGACCAAGGUCAACGGUCAUUUAGGGUCAAUGAACUUUGGCCAAAUUGGGGGUAUUUGUUGAAUUACCAUCAUAACUUUGAAAGUAUAUUGGUCUAGUUCAUAAAACUUGGACAUAAGAGUAAUCAAGUAUCACUGAACAUCCUGUGUGCAUUUUAGGUCACAUGACCAAGAUCAAAGGUCAAUGGAUAUUGGCCAUGUUGGGGGUAUUUGUUGAAUUACCAUCAUAACUCUGUAAGUAUAUUGGUCUAGUUCAUAAAACUUGGACAUAAGAGACGUCAAGUAUCGCUGAACAUCUCAUGCGAAUUUCAGGUCACAUGACCAAAGUCAAAGGUCAUUUAAGGUCAUUGAACUUUGGCCAUUUUAGAGGUAAUUAUUAGAUUGCUGUCAUAACUUUCAAAGUUUACAGAUAUAGUGUAUAAAAUGUGGAUAAUGGGGUAAUCAAGUAUCACUGACAAGUUUUAGGUCACAUGAUCAAGGUCCAAUGUCAAUGAACGCAGUAUUGUAUCAUUAUAUGAAUGGUGUUUUUUGUGAAUAAUUAUUUAAAUGGUGUUUUUCAAAGUCAGCACUGCUGCUAUAUUGAAUCGCGUGAUGCAGGUGAGACCGCUAGAGGCAUUCCACUUGUUAGAGUAUUUGUUCCUCCUUUUUGCUAUGAAUACACCAAUACUUUUUUGUAUGAUUUUUUACUCUUUUUUUUUAGAUUUCUGAUCAUGAAGUAUUUAUUAUACACAGCACGUGUCACUAGCGCCAGUCCGACAGUCCCAGACCAGAAAAAAUCACUGUCGGGCCAGUAACUUGUUGCAUGAAAAGAACAAGUAAAUAAUUCUCGCCUAUGAGCACAUGUUUAAAAGGGUGACAGAGAUGCCAACCGUAACGUUUUUGCCGUAUUUGUUACGUUUUUUCACCCAAAAUACGGCGUUACUUUUUUUCUUUGUAAGAUACGUUUUCUUAAAAUUUCGAUCGUGAACAAUAUGCAUUGUGUGUAGCUAGCUGGGUGUUUAAGGCGAGUGUGCAUUACGAUAGGUAGUGCGGUAAUAAAUUACGCAUUUCUACUAAUGCAUAAAUCCCUAAUGUGGCAGCCUUGUGUGUUGCUGCCCGAGUUGUGCUUUUAUCAAGGCUUUCCGAUUAAAUUUUCGAUAUCGUGGCCAAUCAAUGCGAGCGUCAAGUUCCGAACACACGCACAUCUACAAGCGCAAAGCAGCGACACAAAUCGCGAUAUAUAGCGACUGGUGCAUACGUCUGUAAGGAUGAUGACGUUAUCCAAGAUGGCAACUUACGUUGACCAACGAAAGGAUCGAAGAUGACUAUGUUUCGAUCAUCAUUUGAAAGGAAUUAGAGGUAACUGCGGUCUGAGGUACGAUAUUUCUGAAUUUAUAUAUUUUCUCGUAAGUUUGAAUGUACUUUCUUUUUUAUAAUGUGACAUUUUAUGUACAAAAAAACAAUCCGAAAAUCGGGUUUCCGCCGAAUGUUAGAUCUUACGUUAAUGCUAAUACGUUGGCUAUACGUACGGACGGGCCGACAACUCUUCAUUCUAUGUAUGGGUGAGUGGAGCCAACGCAGUUCAGCGGAACAACCAAAAUACAGAGACUGAAGCUUUUGGUCUAGUGUGAUUGAUGCACGAUCGUUGUCGAUUUGUUGUCUUGAUUUGUCGGGUCUCGAUUAAUCAUGGCGUCAACUUCGUCCUCUAAGUCUAAAUCACAACGGAAACAGAUGUUUAGAGAGGAAUACUCGACUCGGUGGCCUUGUAUUAUCCGUUCCAAACUGCAUGAAUUUACCGCACGGUGCACUGUCUGUCAAUGUGAUUUCACUAUUUCACACGGAGGAGCGAAUGACAUUACUGCCUGCCCAGGGGCGGAAAUCUCUCCCAAAAGGUAGGGGGGACACAGGGGCGGAUCCAGCCUUCGCCAAUAGGGGGGCGGAAAUUUGUUUCAGCCAUAUUUUCCCCUAUCGGCAGCUCGAAGAUGAUUUGUGUUUGUUUCUUUGAAGGGGUAGUUCUCAUUAGUCUCUUCUUCGCUUUAUUCAUAUAUAAUAUCAUAAUCCUUAUUUAUAUGAUGCGAAGCGCGAGCUAAUUUUUUGGAAAUUUUAUUUAUUUUUUUCUAAAAUUUGAACAUUCUGGGCAAUGUUUGUUAUCCUGAAAAAAAAUCCUGAAAAAAAUGUGUAUGCAACUUAAUAAUUACUACGAAUGCAAAGCGCGAGCAGAAAUGAACUGAUGGAAAAGAUACCUGUUAAAGACUGCGUGCAGUUAG